rnacentral:rRNA from 1 species
GCAUAUCAAUAAGCGGAGGAAAAGAAACCAACAGGGAUUGCCCUAGUAACGGCGAGUGAAGCGGCAACAGCUCAAAUUUGAAAUCUGGCCCUUGGGUCCGAAUUGUAAUUUGUAGAGGAUGUUUUUGGUGCGGUAUCUUCCGAGUUCCUUGGAACAGGACGCCUUAGAGGGUGAGAGCCCCGUACGGUUGAAUGCCUAGCCUUUGUAAAACUCCUUCGACGAGUCGAGUAGUUUGGGAAUGCUGCUCUAAAUGGGAGGUAAAUUUCUUCUAAAGCUAAAUACCGGCCAGAGACCGAUAGCGCACAAGUAGAGUGAUCGAAAGAUGAAAAGCACUUUGAAAAGAGGGUUAAAUAGCACGUGAAAUUGUUGAAAGGGAAGGAUUUAUGACCAGACUUUUCCUAGGCGAAUCAUCCGGUGUUCUCACCGGUGCACUUCGUUUAGUUUAGGCCAGCAUCGAUUUUCGGGGCGGGAUAAAAGCUUUAGGAAUGUGGCUCCCUCGGGAGUGUUAUAGCCUAUUGUAUAAUACCGCCCUGGGGAUCGAGGUACGCGCUUCUGCAAGGAUGCUGGCGUAAUGGUUAUCAAUCACCCGUCUUGAAACACGGACCAAGGAGUCGAACAUUUGUGCAAGUGUUUGGGUGUUAAACCCUCACGCGUAAUGAAAGUGAACGGAGGUGAGAGCCCUUUACGGGGUGCAUCAUCGACCGAUCCUGAUGUCUUCGGAUGGAUUUGAGUAAGAGCAUAAAUGUUCGGACCCGAAAGAUGGUGAACUAUGCGUGGAUAGGGUGAAGCCAGAGGAAACUCUGGUGGAGGCUCGCAGCGGUUCUGACGUGCAAAUCGAUCGUCAAAUCUGCGCAUGGGGGCGAAAGACUAAUCGA